rnacentral:lncRNA from 1 species
CAAGGUUGAUGCGAGGAUUCUUAUUUGGAGCUAAUCAUGGCUCGCACCAAAUGUAGCUGAAGCCUUAAGAGGGGUUGGUGGAAAUAAAAAAGAAUCUCUUUUUCCACUUGUGUACUAAAAUGGGCGGUCUUUUGAUAAACUGAAGGCCGCUCCAAGAGGCGAUCUUUUUCUUGAGGAUGCCUCUCAGCAUGAAUAAGGUACAAAAAAGAGAACAUCUCAGGCCAAUCCUAAGAAGAUCAUACAUUAUUAUAAAAGAACAAAUGAUGCGA